GACUGGACUUGAUGAGCUCUUGAGGUCCCCUCCCAUUCUAGUGUUCUAGGAUUCCAGGAUUCUGUGUUACACACUGGAGGAGAGUCACUGCUCACUGUGGAGUUGAGAGUUUCUUUUUAAUGCUCCAAGGAGCCAGUUUGUGGGACCAAACUAAGACAAGAGCUGAUCUCUGGACCAUAAUUCAGUUGCUGCUGAUCUGUCUCCCUCCAUCUGGUCCUGCCGCUCAGCCUGUCCGGCUCCGGUGAAAACUGAGCUCCUGAGGUCUAUUUCUAUUGCCCCAGCCUCCCUAGUUGUUGUCACCGUCCCACAGGCCACCCAGGCUUGCAGCCUGGUGGGGUCAUUGGGCCAUUCCUAAGUCUGGCUGCUUCCUUCUCCACAACAUACUAGACUCUAGAACUUUUUCCUUGUCCCAGUGUCUGCAAAGCUUUAUCCAGGCUCAGAUUAUCUUCCACUGCAGCCUCCUGUCUGGCCUCCCUGGUAACAACACCCGCCCACUUCAGGCCAUCCCAAAUGUAGCUGCCAAAGGGCCUUCCUUAUGUAUGGAUCUGGUGAUGUCAACUCCCCACCUCUUCACUAGGCCCACAGCAUGCUACAUUCAAGCUGCAUGCCUCAUUCUUGUCUUCUAGGCCCUGCACAACACUGCUUUAUCCUGCAUCUUGGACCGUGUCUCUUCUUAUGUCCCUCAGACUCCACUCUAUCAAUGGCACUGGCCUUGAUGCUCUGUAGCUGCAGAAGUCAGACAGGAGAUGGUCACAGCAAUCAAGCUGAGAAGCCACUGAGGCCUGGACAAUGGCCGUGACAACAGAAAACACAGGACAGAUUGCGGCGCUAUUAUGCAAGAAGAAACAACAGGGUUUAGUAAACGCGCCGAUGAGAAUGGAUAGGGAUGGGAAGUUAAAGGGUAUGUCUACACUGCAGGGUAUCCCGGAAGAACUCCGCUGUGUCCAGGGAACACGUUUGCUCUUCCACUUUUUUUUG